GAUGAACGCUGGCGGCGUGCCUAAUACAUGCAAGUCGAGCGAACAGACGAGGAGCUUGCUCCUCUGACGUUAGCGGCGGACGGGUGAGUAACACGUGGAUAACCUACCUAUAAGACUGGGAUAACUUCGGGAAACCGGAGCUAAUACCGGAUAAUAUAUUGAACCGCAUGGUUCAAUAGUGAAAGACGGUUUUGCUGUCACUUAUAGAUGGAUCCGCGCCGCAUUAGCUAGUUGGUAAGGUAACGGCUUACCAAGGCAACGAUGCGUAGCCGACCUGAGAGGGGGGACCGCCCCACCUGAAACGAGAACAGGGUCCAGAACCCUAGGGGGGGCAGCAGUGGGAAAUUUUCCGAAAGGGGGGAAAGCCGGAGGGGGAAACCCGGGGGAGGGAAGAAGGGCUUUGGGAUCGUAAACCUCUUUUAUUGGGAAAAAAAAAAUGGUAAGUAAACUUUGCCGGUUUGAGGGGACCCAAUAAAAAAGCCCCGGCCAAACUCGGG
rnacentral:rRNA from 1 species